rnacentral:pre_miRNA from 1 species
UAUUAAAAAUUUUAUUCAUUUCUACUGUUGAAAUUUGAUUUGAUUAAUAGAAUAACCAAAACAUGUAUCUUAUUCUGAUGUACAUGACUUAAUUUUUAAGGGUAGAAAUAGAUAAUUUUUUUAAUA